AAUAUACUCCCGCGUCGGAGGAGGCGUGGGCGUCCCCGCCCAGGCCCGGGAGACAGAGGCGCUGACCCCGGGACAGAGCCUGGCUUUGUGCGGGAGGCAGACGCGCCCCGCGCGCCGCCCCCGAAACAUUCGCACCCCAUGCUGAGGCGCGCGUCUGGGAGUCCGUGGGCGCCCCGAGAAAUGAAGUUGAAAAUAGCACAGGAGCCCACUAUCACUGUGUGAACAUUUUGUGAAUGAAGACAUGUAUGAAAGGAUGUUUGGAGGCUUCAAGAAACGAAAGCCGAGAGUCUAGCUAGACCAGAGCCAUCCAGCCCAGGAGCGAUGGCCACGUGUGGCCGCUGGACACGAGAGACGUGGCCAGUCCAAACUGUGCAGUGCGGUAAGGGCAGAACACAUGCCAGCUUUCGAAGGCUUAGUAAAGAAUGCAAAAUUUCUCAAUUGGGAAUUUUUGUAUGAAUUUCAGGUUGAAAAAAACAUUUUGGAUAUAUGGUGUUAAAUAAACAUGAUUACAAUGACUUUCGCUGUCAGCCUCCCGGAGGCUCAUUUUGCUCCUCUGGGCCACAGCCAGCUCAGAGGGUUGCUCUAGGAAAUAUCUACACGUUCUUGAAGCACAGGUUUAUGUGCCAGGCACUGUACUAAGUGCUGGGGACACGGCGUUAAGACCAGGCCCUCACGGAGCCCUCACUCUCUGAGGAGGAACAAUAAGUCAGAGAGCGCGCGAGUGCAGCCCUUCAGGCAAAGGAUUUCAGGCCCAGGUCAGGAAGGCCUUGUCUGAGGAGUCUGAGAAGAAGUCAAUUGACAACAGCUAGAACAUCUAGGUCAGGCACUCCAGGCCGACACGACAAAGCAGGUGCAAAGGCCCCAGGGCGGGAACCAGCGUGGCUUGUUCACAGAACAAGGAGGUAGAUCGCUUGCCCUUGGGACCAAAGGAAGGCUCUGGAUUUUAUUCUAGGGGCAGUGGAAGCCGUUGGAGGGCCUCAGGCAGGAACACAAGGUGUCGUGGCAGAAAGGAAGAAGGGGCCGGGCACGGUGGCCCACACCCGUCAUCCCAGCACUUUGGGAGGGAGGCCAAGGCAGGAGGAUCGCUUCAAUCCAGGAGUUCAAGAUCAGCCUGGGCAACACAGCAAGACCCCGUCUCUACUAAAACCCUAAAACUUAGCCAGGCUUGGUGGCAUGUGCCUAAGGUCCCAGGUCCUCGGGAGACUAAGGCAGGAGGAUUGCUUAAGCCCAAGAGUUUGAGGCUGCAGUGAACUAUUAUCACACCACUGCACUCAGCCUGGGUGACAGAGUGACUCUGUCUCAAAACUAAAUAAAUAAACAAUAAUUGUGUUAUUCUGUCUCCAUUUCUCGCAUACUGAAUUUAAGGUGGACUCAGCCAGCGGGUUCAGGCCCAGGGUCUGUCCUGCAGCUACAGUCAGGGUUGGUGGCUGCAGCUGUCAUGGGGGAGCGGUGAGGUUGGGGGAACAGGGGGGCUGGCCUGCAUCCCCCA
rnacentral:lncRNA from 10 species